rnacentral:rRNA from 1 species
UGGGGAAUAUUGCACAAUGGGCGCAAGCCUGAUGCAGCCAUGCCGCGUGUAUGAAGAAGGCCUUCGGGUUGUAAAGUACUUUCAGUCGGGAGGAAGGUGGUAAGGUUAAUAACCUUAUCAAUUGACGUUACCGACAGAAGAAGCACCGGCUAACUCCGUGCCAGCAGCCGCGGUAAUACGGAGGGUGCAAGCGUUAAUCGGAAUUACUGGGCGUAAAGCGCACGCAGGCGGUUGAUUGAGUCAGAUGUGAAAUCCCCGGGCUUAACCCGGGAAUUGCAUCUGAUACUGGUCAGCUAGAGGCUUGGAGAGGGGGGUAGAAUUCCAAGGGUAGCGGUGAAAUGCGUAGAGAUGUGGAGGAAUACCGGUGGCGAAGGCGGCCCCCUGGACAAAGACUGACGCUCAGGUGCGAAAGCGUGGGGAGCAAACAGG